rnacentral:lncRNA from 10 species
GUUGGAAAAUCCCACUUUACUUCAAGUGAAGUCACUGGGUUGUCCCCAUGAAAUAUCUCCACAAUGGGUGUGCUAGACCUUUACUCUCUGUGGCACCACCAAGACCCCCUCACCCUGCCAGAGCCCUCUGAAGUGUACUCAGAAUGGAGGGGCUGGAAGUGGGGCCAGUGGUCCUGGUAGUCAGCCUCCCCUUCUGACACAAGAAUUAUCGUGGAACAGCUUGUGUGACCGAUCAACUGGUCUCUCCAUCUUUAAGCCAUUGUCUUGUUGACUCUGUUACUGCAGAGUUUGGGGAGGUCUCAUGGCUUCUCGCAUCCUAUUUCCUGAGCUUCCCUGAAGCCAACUUCUGGCCACUGGUAUGUGAUGCGAGCACAGUGCCUCCUCCUGCUCCUCCAGGAAGCUUCUGCUGAUUGAACGCAGGCCAGAUGGCGAGAUCCGGAGCAACCUUCUUAGAUCAAGGGAAGAAAGGGGCACAAGAGGGGAGUAGGUAACAAGAUAAAAGGAGCUCCCUCCCUGAUGACUACAGAGCCAUCGUGGCAGCCCUGGGCCUCCAUUUCAGACGUUCAUCUUGCCUAAGCCACCACCAUCAGGGUCUCAGUCAGUCAUCAUUCUCAUUUACUCGGGUGGCUGGGUGAGGGCGGAAUACUACCUUCCAGCUGUCUGAGAUUAAGCCUAAGCCACCACCAUCAGGGUCUCAGUCAGUCAUCAUUCUCAUUUACUCGGGUGGCUGGGCGAGGGCGGAAUACUACCUUCCAGCUGUCUGAGAUUAAGCAGAACAGCAGCUAAAGCAGUAACAGCAGGUCUCCUUCAGCAGCUUGCCACAGGGAAGAGGGUCCCGCGUGAACCGAACUCAACUUCCACCUGCGCAGAGGUAGCUACCAUUUGCGUAGAGGUAGCUGGGUCUUUAAGGUUAGAGGGAAGGCGCAGGGAGGGAGAGACGGCGGGUGGGGGUUGAACAAAGUGGAGAUUCACAAAAGCAGACUAGGGCGGGCGACGUGAUCAGAUGACCUGUGCGGGCGGCAGCCUCCUGCCCUCCUCCCCUUCGUGCGCCGGCUGGAGCGAAGAGUUCUUUUGACAGCCGUGAGCUUCCCCGCCAGGAACUUACUGGGGCUGCAUCACCCUAGAAACGUGGCUUUGGGCUGUGGAAACGCUGCCUCUGUGGAAGUCUCUCCUCGCGGGGGUGGACGGGUCGCUGCGCGCCCAGCGUUCUUCUGCGGUUCUCACAGCCCGCCGCCGCCGCCGCCUCGGGGACCUUUGCGGGGAGGCCUCAGGCUGGAGUAUAGUGGCAUGAUCAUAGAUCACUGCAGCCUCAAACUCCUGGGCUCAAGCGAUCCUCCCACCUCAGCCUCCAUAUAGCUGGUGGGGACCAAGUUUCUAACACAUGAAUGUUGGGAGACACAUUCAGACCAUCGCAGUGGCCUUAUAAAAAGAGACACAAGAGCUUGCUCUCUGCCAUGUGAGAAUACCACAAGAAGACUGUCCUCAGCAAAUCAGAAAGCGGGUGGACCCUCAUCAGACACCAGAUGUGCCUGCACCUUGAUCUUGGACUUGCCAGCCUUCAGAACAGUAAGAAAGAAAUGUGUGUUGUUUAAGCCACCCAGUCUAUGGUAACUUGCUAUAGCAGCCCACUAGGAGACCCCAAGAUAUUUAAAAACUCAUCAGCACCUGCUUUCUGCAUCUGGACCCUGAUCUUCUGGUGGGUUUACCAGUUACUUGUAGAGUGUCCCUGUGAUAGUUUUAGGUGUCAACUUGACAGGAUUGAGGGAUGCCUAGAUGGCUGGGGAAGCACUGUUUCUGAGAAGGACCAUGUUUUUGGAGGAGACUGUUUUAUGAGUGAAUUUCAGGGGACACAUUCAGAUCAUGGCAGUGGCAUUAUAAAGAGAGACACAAAAGCUUGCUCUCUCUCUCUGCCAUGUAAGACUACCACACAAAGACUGCCAUCUGCAAACCAGAAGCAGGUGGGCUUUCCUCAGACACCAGAUCUGCCUGCACCUUGAUCUUGGACUUGCCAGCCUUCAGAACUCUAAGAAAGAAAUGGUAGCAUGGCUUGGUCUAAGUUGGAAGGCCUGAGAAACAAGCACAUGGUGGAACUGAGUUCAAGGAUAAAGACUUGAGAAUACCUGCUCAGUGGACUGAGUAGGGAAGAUCAACCCUCAAUGUAGGCAGGCACUAUCCAAUCACCUGAGGGCCCAGAUGGAACAAAAAGGUGGAAGAAGGGUGAAUUCUCUCUUCCAGAGCUGUGACACCCUUCUCAUGCCCUUGUACCACACAACUCUAGGUCCUUUGGCCUUUGGACUCUGACACUUGCACCAGUGGCCCUCUGGGGCUCUCAAGCCUUUAGCCUUGAACUUAGUUACACCAUGUGCCUCCUUGUUUCUCAGGCCUUCCAACUUGGAUCAGGCCAUGCCACCGGCUUCUCUGAUUCUCCAGCUUGCAGAUGGUAUAUUGUGACCCUGGCAUUUAAUAACUAUGACUUUGGUCUUAAGCAAUUUUCUUCCUCUGUGGAUUGAUAUUUACAUAUCAAUGUGGAUAAUAAUUUCUUACCACGGUAACUGUUGUGAGGUAAAAAUGAGUUAACAUAAGUAAAACCGAGCACAUGCAAACCAUCCGAAAUGGUUAAUACUUACUAUUUGUACUUGAAGAAAUAAAUGUUUUUGACAAUAAACUUCUUGUGCAGUUUUCCUC